rnacentral:rRNA from 1 species
UAGAGUUUGAUCAUGGCUCAGGAUGAACGCUAGCGACAGGCCUAACACAUGCAAGUCGAGGGGCAUCGGGGCGAGGAGCAAUCCUUGCCGCCGGCGACCGGCGCACGGGUGAGUAACGCGUAUGCGACCUGCCCGUUGCAGGGGGAUAAUCGGGAGAAAUCCCGUCUAAUACCGCGUAAUGCCGCGGGGCUGCAUGGCCCUGCGGCCAAAGGGAGCGAUUCCGGCAACGGAUGGGCAUGCGUGACAUUAGCUAGUUGGCGGGGCAACGGCCCACCAAGGCGACGAUGUCUAGGGGUUCUGAGAGGAAGGUCCCCCACACUGGUACUGAGACACGGACCAGACUCCUACGGGAGGCAGCAGUGAGGAAUAUUGGUCAAUGGGCGCGAGCCUGAACCAGCCAAGUCGCGUGAGGGAUGACGGCCCUACGGGUUGUAAACCUCUUUUGUCGGGGAGCAAAUUCCGCCACGUGUGGCGGAGUCGAGAGUACCCGAAGAAAAAGCAUCGGCUAACUCCGUGCCAGCAGCCGCGGUAAUACGGAGGAUGCGAGCGUUAUCCGGAUUUAUUGGGUUUAAAGGGUGCGUAGGCGGACUGUCAAGUCAGCGGUAAAAUACGGGGGCUCAACCUCCGCCCGCCGUUGAAACUGACGGUCUUGAGUGGGCGAGAAGUAUGCGGAAUGCGUGGUGUAGCGGUGAAAUGCAUAGAUAUCACGCAGAACUCCGAUUGCGAAGGCAGCAUACCGGCGCCCAACUGACGCUGAAGCACGAAAGCGUGGGUAUCGAACAGGAUUAGAUACCCUGGUAGUCCACGCAGUAAACGAUGAAUACUAGCUGUCCGGGGCGAAUGAGCCCUGGGUGGCACAGCGAAAGCGUUAAGUAUUCCACCUGGGGAGUACGCCGGCAACGGUGGAACUCAAAGGAAUUGACGGGGGCCCGCACAAGCGGAGGAACAUGUGGUUUAAUUCGAUGAUACGCGAGGAACCUUACCCGGGCUCAAACGACACAGGAACGUACCUGAAAGGGUUCGGCUCUACGGAGCCUGUGUCGAGGUGCUGCAUGGUUGUCGUCAGCUCGUGCCGUGAGGUGUCGGCUUAAGUGCCAUAACGAGCGCAACCCCCAUCGACAGUUGCUAACAGGUCAGGCUGAGGACUCUGUCGAGACUGCCGGCGCAAGCUGCGAGGAAGGCGGGGAUGACGUCAAAUCAGCACGGCCCUUACGUCCGGGGCGACACACGUGUUACAAUGGCAGGUACAGCGGGAUGCCAUGGGGCGACCCAGAGCGGAACCCGAAAACCUGUCUCAGUUCGGAUUGGAGUCUGCAACCCGACUCCAUGAAGCUGGAUUCGCUAGUAAUCGCGCAUCAGCCACGGCGCGGUGAAUACGUUCCCGGGCCUUGUACACACCGCCCGUCAAGCCAUGGGAGCCGGGGGUGCCUGAAGGCCGUGACCGCGAGGAGCGGCCUAGGGUAAAACUGGUGACUGGGGCUAAGUCGUAACAAGGUAACCGUA